CUCUGGGCAGGAUCUCACCAUUGGAAGUGCUAACUCAGAGGAGCCUUGGACACAGAUGGGAACUCCGGGGCAAGAGAGGGUGAAGAAGAGUGAGGCCAGAUGCUCUGCCCACCUCAGUGCCAUCACACCAGUUAGCAGGACUCUUCCAAAGGUAUGAGUACGAGGCAUAAGAAUGUCAAGCAACCCUCCCACUUGGUCUUCGAGGCCCAGUGAACUGACUCCAGUGGUGGAAUAUUAGGCACCAUGAAAAAAGAAGGGAGGGUACUUAUUGGUAAGACUUGGUUGUAAAAAUCCCAUUCUACACUUACCAUAAAGCCAAGUCCUACCUAAAAGGGAGCCUUCAAAGCUCUUCCCCGAGCCCUGGGUGAGGGCCACCACAGCCUCAGUGCUUGGCAACAGAAGCAGCACCCCUGGAGGCUGAGCUUAUAGCCCUAGGAACAGCUCCUGUGGGUUUCAGAUCUGCCACUGACUACACACAAGGCCUCACAAAAGCUCUUCGGCCUCCCUGUGCCUCAGGGUCCUCAUGUGUACAUGGAGGUAACAGAACAGUCCAUGUCUCAGAGGCUCUUGUGAGAAUUAAGGGACUUGGUAUUGGCAAGGUACCCAGAGCCUGGCGCAUGGUGAGCAACCGGUGUCAGGUGUGGUCAUUAUCUUGCUGGUUUUCAGGCAGUGCCAGAGGCAGUGUGGUUACUCUAGUUUGGAAGGCUUUGUGGUAGGGACUACAGUAUUGAUAUGAGAAUGAGCUUAUGGAAUGGAUCUGACUUCGAGACCUCGCUCUGCCACUAGCAGCUGAGCAACCUCUCGACCACAGGCUCUUCAUCUGAAAACCGUGAAUAUCAAUACGUUGCCAUAGGUCUUAAGAACCAAAAUAAAAUGUACUGAAGUGCUUUUCAAAAUACUUAUGUUUUAAGCUAACAUGGAAUAAAAUAGACCUCGGGGGUCCAUAUAGUUUUAUGAAUUGUCAUACAUUCAUGUACCCACCACCAAGAUAAGGACCGUCUCCCCACUCCCCAUGAAAUUGUGUUGUUUUUAUUUUUUUUUAUUUUUAAAAUGCUCUGCAAAGGUCAAAGUCCUAGUGUUCUGCAGGCGGACACCUGGAGGGCCUACCAUGGCGCACUAGAUAGGGAAGAUUCAAAGCCUGGCACAUUUCUCACAAAACAAGCAGAGAAGGUGAAUGCUAGCGUGGAGCUUCCUGUCAUAGGCUGCCUGCACACUGGCUGUUCCUCAGCAGGAACUCGGCCUCUCCAGACACUUGCCUGCUCACACUUCACCUCCUUCAGGUCUUUGCCUGAAUGCUACCCUCUCCCGAGGCCUCCCCUCUGGGAGCCACCAUCUGGUACUUUGGAUCCCCA
rnacentral:lncRNA from 1 species